UCUAACAAAACGUGAACCGAACCCCUCUCUCUCUUCAACCAAACAAGAAAACCAAACGACCCCCUCCUCUUCAAAUCACCAUCACCGCUGGUUCCACCGAAGGACCGACGAACAAAAGCCGAUUUCGACGUCGCUGACACCACCUCCCAUCAACCACAGUCCCUUUUCCCCUUUUUCUUCAGGCAAUAGAGCUUCAAACAGCUCGUCCAAGUCGAAUCAGUCCCCAAAUCGAAAAGCACGCAUACAUCUUUGGGAUUCUAGGCUGCUCUUCCAACAAUCCAUAGGGUAAAGACUCGUUCAGCCAUCAGACCCGAAAACCAUGGAGAAGUCUCCAAAUUCGGAGUCCCAAUGAACCUCUAGAUUUCAAAUCAUCUCUGAAAAAGGUUCUUUUCAACAUGGUUGUAACUAGCUAAGUUGUCAUGCUAUAAAUCUUAAAAGUGUUCUUAACUUAAUUUACCUAUAGAAGAAGAUAGCAAAGGACUGGCAUGUUUAGUAAAAUGGGAUCAGAUAAAGAAGCAGUAGAAACCUUGGGAGCAUUUGGAGUUAUGGUAACUCCGGAUUCUGCCAGAUCAGAGAAGAAACCAGUAGCAGCCUUCUUUGCUCGUGUCUAGCGUCCCUCGUUCAUGUCAAGCGUCCCUGUCCUCCUCAUUCUCUUCAAACUUUAUGUCUUUGCGUUAGCAUAUGUAUACAUGUUUAUAUUUUUGGCUAACACUUUGUAUGGAUUGUAUUUGUAGCGUAUUUGUUUAUUGCUUAUGAACGAACCUGUGGAAAAAUGGCUGAGCGGAACAACGAAUUUAGUCCUUAUCUUCCA